AUUUAGGAUUUCCUUUAGUAACGGCGAGCGAACGGGAAAUAGCCCAGCACCGAAUCUCACAGCAUGCGCUGCUGAGAAAUGUGGUGUUUAGGUCAUUCUUUGCAUCUGUUGCACUCUUUCAAGUCCACCUGAUUGUGGCUCGAGCCCAUAGAGGGUGUAAGGCCCGUAGAGAGAGUGUAGCGCGGUGCCCGGAAUGUACCUGCGAGUCGGCUUGUUUGGGAAUGCAGGCCAAAGCGGGUGGUAAACUCCAUCCAAGGCUAAAUACUGACACGAGUCCGAUAGCGGACAAGUACCGUGAGGGAAAGUUGAAAAGAACUUUGAAGAGAGAGUUAAAUAGUACGUGAAGCCGCUCAGAGGCAAACGGGUGGUGCUCAAGUCAGGACGUUGGGAAUUCAGCCAGUUUCAGUCUGUGCAUUCAGUGUCGUACGUUGAUCUUUAUCGACAACUGCGGUGCUAAGUGUGUGGACACUGGUGUAUUUUCCCAGUCGUCUUAGCCACGACCGGCGACGCUGUUCUAGUUGGCGACUAGUGGAAGGUGCCGCGUCUGCGGAUGCGCGUUAUAGACAUUGGUGCUAACAACUAGCAGAACGCUGGAGAUUGCGCGGUGCCCGCCCUUUGGGCUCGCACGGCUAGUCGGGCUUGGUUUGACGUUGUUUGCACUGGUUAAUCAGUUCAUGCGACGCUUCGAAUUAGUCUUAUAGGCUGGUUUGCUGCGAGUGUUUGGCGCCUACAGUCAGUGGUCUUACAUUGGGUAGACUACCCGACCCGUCUUGAAACACGGACCAAGGAGUCUAACAUGUGCGCGAGUCAUGGGGACGGUUAUACGAAACCCAAAGGCGCAGUGAAAGUAAAGGCUUGCCUUGUAGUGAGCUGAAGUGGGAUCUUGGUUAGUGCUAAGCGCACCACUGGCCCGUCCUAUCUGUCGGCUAGCAAUAGUUGUCAGUGGGACGGAGCAAGAGCGUACACGUUGGGACCCGAAAGAUGGUGAACUAUGCUUGCGCAGCUCGAAGUCAGUGGAAACACUGAUGGAGGAGCGCAGCGUUUCUGACGUGCAAAUCGAUCGUCAAACGUGAGUAUAGGGGCGAAAGACUAAUC
rnacentral:rRNA from 1 species